AUAUUGUUUUCAAGGCUCCACAGGCAGUGUGAACAGCAUCUUAUGAGACAGAAGUCUGCACCAAUCGUAUGAGGUUCUUCGUGAACCAAAUAGAAAAAUAAAAAAUACUCUUCCCCUGCAACUUUGAGUGAGUUAUAUAGUUAUUAAGUGCAUGCAUAUUUUAUUUUACUUAUUAGUACUUGAUUUGGGUUUUAUAUAGUUAUAGGCCUGACUAUAUAUAUGUGUAAUAAACAGCUUUCACUGGACAUUCAUGGUCAUUGAAAUUCCCAAUAACCGG
rnacentral:lncRNA from 1 species